UUCGCAUGUUUCGUGCCUAUGAAUGUGCAUGCACUUAUGCUAAUGCUUUCAUCCCUAUUCGAUCAUUUCAUUUUCUCCGCUUUUAUAGAAAAAAAGAUGGCUAAAAAAAGAAAAGAAGAUAUUAUAAGAGAAGAGAAAAUAAAAAAUGAGGAAGAAAUGCUAAAAAAAUCAAGGCUAGAAAUUUUUCCAUCCUCUACAAAUAUUUCUAUUAAAGAAGAGGACCAUAUAAUAACAGAAGGAAAAAAAAAUACUUUACAUAUUGCUAGGCAAACUAUUGACAACAUACAUAAAGAAUUUAAUUUUGACGAACAAGAUAUAACUAUUAGUGAAAAUGAAAUAUCUGUAACUAGCAGUUUUUUGUCCUAUGAAAACAUAAAUAAUAGAAGUAUGGAUAGCUUAAUAAAAAAAUAUAAAGUUAUGCAGAAAAGUAAUAAUGUUGAUUAUAAAGAAUUAAGGAAACUAAAGUUUUAUAUAUGUCGCAAAUUAAAAAAAAAAAAGUAUAUUUUAAAAACAACACGAUUAGACCAUAUGAAAAAAAAAAUAAAAAAAGCUUCAAAAGUGAAAGGGUAUAAUUUGUUGGCUCUAGUGGAAAAAGGUACAGCAUGCCAAUUAAAAUUACGUUGUUGUCAAAUUAUGUGACAAACAAUUACGCUGUGAAUGGGUGUUCUUAUUCAUAUUCAUGUGGGUGUACAUAUACUCACUUGUUUAUAUACUUACAUUUUUAUAUACUCAUUUAUAUAUUUAUUUUGGCCCAUUUUAAUCCCUAAAGGUGGUAGCACAUCUUCAGAGAAAGAGUUAGAAGAAUCAAAAAACUCAGAAGAAUCAGACCUUUAUGGAGAAAGUGAAAUAUAUAGAAGUGACAAAAACACAGAUGAUAUGAAUAGUUCUCAAUAUACAUAUUCUUCUUUAGCAAUUUCUGAAUAUGAAAAUUUAAGAUUUAGAGAUAUAUAUUAUAAUGAUAAUUCAUAUGAGAAUAUAUUUAAUAAUAAAGAUCCUAAAAUAAAUGUUACUUAUUUGUAUGACGUGGUUGAAUUUAUGCUUAUUGAUGACAAUCAGAAUAACUUGCCUAAAAUACAAAUACUAUGGAUGGAACUGUUUGUUCUGAAUCUAAAUUUUUACAGAUGUGUACGACAUAUAGAAGAAGAAUUCUUAGAGUAUGCAUUUGAGAUAAACAAUGAUACGAUAAUAAAGAUAGAAAAACAAAGUGAGGAUAAAUUUAAAAUGUUAUUAAAAUUAAAUGAUAAAAACGAUAAACAAGUUAAAUGUUGUUUGCUAGGUAUUAAGGAAAAAAUGAUGGCAAUAUGUGAUAAUAUAGUACAAAGAAUCUUAUUAUCGAAAUAUAUAAAAUGUUUACAAACUAAGAAUAUAGGCAUUGUUUAUAAUGCUGCAAUAUUUUUUUUAUAUGAUAAAAGAUUAUUAGACUUAAAAAAUGUAAAGUAUGA
rnacentral:lncRNA from 1 species